rnacentral:rRNA from 1 species
UACGUAGGUGGCAAGCGUUGUCCGGAUUUAUUGGGUUUAAAGGGUGCGUAGGCGGCCCUGUAAGUCAGUGCUGAAAUAUCCCAGCUUAACUGGGAGGGUGGCAUUGAUACUGCGGGGCUAGAGUACAGAUGAGGUAGGCGGAAUUGACGGUGUAGCGGUGAAAUGCUUAGAUAUCGUCAAGAACACCUAUAGCGAAGGCAGCUUACUAGGCUGUAACUGACGCUGAGGGCACGAAAGCGUGGGGAGCAAACAGG